GAUUGGGACUGGUCUGCAUCUUUAGAAAGUACAAACUAAAACUAAUUAGCGUAAUAUGUUGUUUAAAUUCAGCUCAUCUUUUUUUUUUUAAGUUUAGUUUUCACGACGUUGUGUCCAGUGUGCGUACCUUUUAGUAGCUUUGGGACAUUCCUGAUGAUGUGUCCCAAAGCUAACCUUUUAGCAAGCUGGCUGGCAAGCGUGCCUUGCUUGAUGCUGAAGGAAACCUGCGUGACUGAUGGUAGAGGUAGAAGCUCAUUUAUUUUAUAGCUAUCAUCCAGCGCCCUAAAAGUUGACCAUCCAAUCACAGUAGCUAGAGCCAUUUAUGUCUACUCAAUGUAUAAACAUGGGAACUUGGAAUUUGGCUUGUAAGUGUUCCAGGAUGUUUGUCCAUAGUAGACUGUUGACUGUCGUGUCAGAGUCAAACAUGAAAGUGGGUUCUCACUCUGCAUCCUACCAUUCCACUAGUUCUCUCAUCUGGCCUAAAGGACUGCUGUGAGGUGACGAUGCAGUGCCUUAACCAGCUCUGGUCUGUGACACUGGCCUGCUGUGCCCGGAUACUGGCCUGCUGUGCCGGGAAAGAGACCCAAGCAUCCCUGGAGAGGAAGCCCAAUGCAGACAGCAGAGUAUCAUCUGUGCUUUGGAAGCUCAGCCUGGAUGACUUUCCAGAGGAUGGUGAGAGGCUAAUAAAGGACUCCAGAGAAGGACUAUCCAGAGAAGAAGACAGGAAUGAUGAGACAUUGUUUGGCGUGUCUCCUGGCUCUCACCCAGGGCAGAAGGAAGUCACACAGGCUUUUUGUGAAGGAGGGUUUGGCCUCUCGUUUGGCCUCUCUACGGCAGGUGUGUGAGGAGGCCCGUAGACAGGGUGUGCAGAUCCAGGGGGUUAGUACGAAGGACUUAAACAAGAUGUGCUCAGGAGGGGUCCACCAGGGUUUCAUGGGAGUGUAUGCUAUGACAGCCUCACACAUAUGCUGAAGGUAUUGUACCUCUCCCAAUGCAUUUUAGCCUGGUCAUGCACUGGUCAGCUUACUUUCAGAAUCUCACUGUUUGGCUUCAGUAUUUUAUGAGAGCAUGAGAGCUUUAAAACAAUAAUAAUUUUGUCUUUAGUGUUAGCUCUUUUGACCUAUAUGGAGCCAACUUUAAACCUCAACUUUUAGGAGUUAUUGAUUUUUCAUAGUCCUCACUAGCUGAUGACUAGGGUCUGUUCUGUGCCGGUAAAGGUGGCACAAGGCUAGCAGCUUAUUGGCACAGUGGGAGCUAAACCAGAGAACUCUCAUGUUCCUGUCAUGACAUUUUCCAAUUUCCAGAUGACCAAACCUACACUUCUGCUGAUGGGUGGUGAAAGGUAAGGCUUGUCCCGGGAGCUGCGUCUGCAUUGAGGCCCUGCUAACCAUCGCACCUCGCAGAGACCUGCACCCUGGCCUGGUGUCGAAUCCCUCAAUGUGUUUGUGGCUACAGGCAUCCUGCUGCACUUACUCCUGUCGUCCUGUAGAGAUGGCCAUCGAUGACCGACUAGACUACACAACUCAAGGUGUUUACUUUGGACUCCCUCCCAGGCACUCCUCCCAGGGCUUAAUGACUGGAUUUACUGCAUCAAUUAGCCAUCAGGGUCUCUGAGAGUCUAGAGGCCUGGCUGGCUGAUUGAUUGUUCUCUGGCAGCUGAUGUGCCCUCGCCGUGCUGUUCUGCACUGCUCUGGACCUUCAUGCUAACUGCAUGUCUGAAUGUAAACAGUACAAUGUAAUUCAAUUCAAUAAAACAUUGUGUACUCAAAGUUA